rnacentral:snRNA from 1 species
UCACUUACCUGGACGGGGUCAAUGGGUGAUCAAGAAGGUCCAUGGCCUAGGUUGGUGACCUCCAUUGCACUCAGGAGGGGUGCCCGCCUAAGGUCGGCCCAAGUGGUCGAGCCUACGUCAUAAUUUGUGGCAGUGGGGGCUUGCGUUCGCGCAGCCCCUGC